UUUAUGGAACUCAAUCAGACCGCGGAAGUACAGCGCCCGUGAGCCGAGUUACGCCGCGCGAAGGAAGACAUCUCUCUCCCGCGCAUGCGCAAGCCAUUGCCGGCCGGCUUGGGCCCGGGGGCUGCGGAAUGCUGCUACCCGUUCGGAAGGCGAGUUUGGCGUUGUUGUCGCGUCGUCAGCGGCGUUCUACGGUGCGCAGACGGCUUCGUUUUCCAAGGCAGAAGCAUCUUCAACUGCCACUGGAUGGCACCAGGUACUUCGAAGGCUUCAGCUUCCUCUCUGCUAUGGAGCUGAUGUACGCCACAUACUGUUGUCUCAACCUAAACUACCCUGCUGAGCUGCCAGCAGCAUUGAAGUUCGUUUAGAGGCAACUUGUGGCAAUGGACCCACAGGAGGGGUCCCGGCAGUCUUGAAGAAAAGUUGCUCUGGUGCGUCUGAAGGCGCAGGGAGCCCACCAAGAGUUCUCGAAGUUCCGAAAGAAGUGGAAAGAAAAAUCGGUGCUUGUUUAGAUUCAUUUUUUUUCUAUUGUUAAUAUUACUAUUUGUUGUCAUAGGCCACGAUGGUUCUUUUCGAGGUGUAGCUUGUCAGCAUAAUUUUUUGUGACAUUUUUCUUUAGCGGACUGCUCACUUUGAUAUUUUUUUUUGAUGGCUGAGCUGCCCCAAAUA